CGCCCGAGGCUCUGAGGGCUGGCGGGCUGGCAACGGUCUCCGCGGGGGCGGGAAGCGGCUCCCGCUGCCCUAGCUGUCCUGCGGCGGCGCGGCUGAAAGCACGGGCCACUGGUGCGCGCGUCACUCGGGGCUGUGCGUAGCGCGACGGUGUGUGCAGGAAACAAGCAGGAAAUACCCUAAAAUAGAAUUAAGCGCCACGUUGCGGGCCGCGGACGUCGCGAGUGCUGUGGGAAUGUGGGCUGAGGUGGAGAGUUAUGGUGGCGCGUGUUACAGGCCCAGGGGUCAGGAGAAGCCUAAUCGUGGAGGCGGCAUCUGAGGAGGGUCUUGAACGCUGGGCAGGCUUUUGCCUGACGGCGAUGGUGGAAGCGAGUGCUGUCUGAUGGAGGAAACAGGGCGGAGGCGUGGAGGGAGCCGUGCAGCGCUGGUGUGAGGAGCAGCGAGCAGGCCAGGCCUGUAAAGCAGAGUGAUGGGAACCUGGAUGGAGAGGGCAAGUCAGGGUCCUGUGGUCGCUGAAGAAUUUGAAUGAAAUCAGUAAACAGGUGAGAAGAAUCAAUCGCAAGAGCAUGGGAUGAAACGAGGCGUUGUCCACGGUGAUUCCUGUCAGCGGUGGGUAUUAUUAAUCACGUAUGUGACACCGAAACCACCCCACUCAAGUUGUGGCUCUUGCCCUAAAGUAGAAAACAGAGACCAGUUGGGUUCCAAGCAUCCACGAAGAUCUUAUUAAACUCGUGAUCCCUGGUGGCACCAUCGACUCAGGACUGGCCCAUCUCAAACCUGACUCAGAAACGAAACUGUCACAGUGUGCAGAGAUGAGCGUCCUUACCCGCGAUCAUAACGUAUUUUCCGGUGUUUUCACAGUGCUGCGCUUCCUAAUCCCCACUCCACGGCAAUCCACAUGCCGUGAUGCCCGGAGGCAUUAGCAAGGAGACACACAGGGGCUCUUCACGUUGGCUUUCCAGGGUUUUGAUGAAAAUCUCAAUUUCCUCAUCUCUUAUAUUGUGGCUGUACAGGAAGCAUGGUGAUGGCAUCUGCAUGGCGCCUGUGGAGGCCCCAGGGAGCUUUUACUCAUGAUGGAAGGCAAAGAGGGAGUAGGCACAUCACAUGGCCAGAGCAAGAGCAAGAGAGAAUGGGAGGGGGGCUCUUUGUCCUGGGCAGAGCUUGCUGCACCUUCCAGUUUCAGUAAUCAAGGAAGCGGAGUCCCUGCAAUUCUUCAAGGAACCUUGAGAACUCAGGAGGUCCUGGGGUGGCUGCAUCAAUCCUGCAGACCAAUGCCAAUCAGCAGAGGGGCCAUUCCCAGGGCCACAUGGCUGGCUGAGUUGGGCCUUGGCCAGGUAAGAUGCACAGCAUGCAUGCCUAUGUGAUUUAAUUCUGAAUGCCAUAGACCUGGCAAGUCAUAAAAUAGCAACCAAUAAUUGUAAGUUAGAGGGCUCAUUUCCUCCCAGAAAUCUCAGUGUAUGUGAAGAUAGAUUGGAAUGUGUAAAGAAAAGCUAAGAAAGCAGAUUUCUGAUAAGAGCAGCGUGUGACUCGUACAGCAGUUCUGGAUUACAGCCCGAAGGAUGGAAUGCUGACAGUUCCUUCUUUCUUACUUGUGAUUGCUAGAAUUUUAUUUAGCGGAUCGUUUUUGAGCCGAUCUCAAAAUGAGAAAAUUCUUUGAGGAAUUAUGCGUAGUGUGAAGUAUAUUCUCUCCCUUGUUGCCCGUGGAGAUGCCACUGGUGACAGGGCAGAUUUCCCACUGCAGGGUCGAUGGAGAUGCUGCUGCUGUCUUUGGACAUAAUAGUUUAUGACAAAGAGACCAAAAUAAUUCCUUUUUAGCCAUGUGGUUGUCUGUAAAUUUGCCUAGUUGGUCAUCCAAAGUGAUGACAUUUAAGAUAUAGUUGAUACACUGUUUAUCUUAAAGAAACGUUUUAAAAUUAAUUUUUCAGACCUAUGUAAUAUUUUAUCUUUUCUGUUUAAUAAUAUCCAAAUGUGCUUUUGUGACGCACAGGACACGUGUGUUUCUUCAUAAAUCAGUCAGAUAGCUUUGAAAGUAUAAUAUAUUACAAGCAUGUAGCAAAGACCCUCAAAACACAAUUAUUGAAGCAGUAUAAAAAGGUGAAUUUGCUUCAGUUUUGGGUUUUUAAUAGACUUCACUGUUAUGUAGUGAAGACAGAAGUUUGCCAUGGAAGUCUCUGGUUAAGAGCCAAGACUUUUUCUCGUGUAUCAUUUCAGAUCCUGUCAUCUCUAUCUGAUCUUUAGGGUAGACUAUGUACAUUCAGAGUGUUGAGUAAAAUUAUUAGAAAAUAUAAUACCUGUAACAUUAUUCUUUAUACCCUUUAAGUAAAUAUGCUGGCACAUGAAUUCACAAUUUAAAACUCUGACUUUGUAAGACAUUUGCAUGUAUCUCCAAUGAAGAUAUUGUUGGACUUGCAUUCUUUGUGCAUGAUUUGUGACAAAAUUAUGAGACCUUUACAUUUGUGGAAAUAAAACACAUAAAGUUA